ACCCUCCAGAUUCCUCCCCCUCAGAUCUAAACAUUGGUCUGAGUGUAGAUAAAUGGAGGAAAAGUAAUACUGAAGUGCACUUGGAGCCAUUAAUGACUUACAAGUUCAUUUCAAACAUAA
ensembl:snoRNA